UUUUUUUGUCCCUUAGCAAAUCAACGGAAGUCAUAUCUUCUAUUUUGUUCCAUGGCCAGAUUGGCAACCAUCUUAGGUGUGAGAAGUAAUCAAUUUGAUGUAUGAUGUCCUAAGAAAAGUGAGCUGCGAAUUAAUCUGGACUUCAGAUUAUAUCUGAAACAAUUAUCUCUGCAGGGUUAUAGUUCAUAGUUCCUAAAUGUAUAUUUUUUUGUGCACCGAGAAGUUUAUUUUGGUUUUGUUCUAAAAUAAAACUUGAAAGUACUAAUUAACAGGAACAUGGUCAUACCUUGAAGAGGAAAACCAAUCAUAGACAGACUUAGUUCAUCUUGAUUAGUUAUUUAGACUAAAUUGCCGCACAAGAAUAGGAAACACCAAAAGUGCAGAACUAUUUUUCUUUUCGUUGUUUGAUUAGAGAUUUAUUUUUCUUUUAUAUUAUAGAUUUGUUGCCUUUGUUCUCAGGCUUCUGAAUGGAUUGGAAAAUAUGAGGCCACCUAAAUGUAUAUCUUUUUGUGCACCGAGAAGUUUAUUUUGGUUAAAUUCUAAAAUAAAACUUGAAAGUACUAAUUAACAGGAACCUGGUCAUACCUUGGAGAGGAAAACCAAUCAUAGACAGACUUAGUUCAUCUUGAUUAGUUAUUUAGACUAAAUUGCCGCACAAGAAUAGGAAACACCAAAAGUGCAGAACUAUUUUUCUUUUCGUUGUUUGAUUAGAGAUUUAUUUUUCUUUUAUAUUAUAGAUUUGUUGCCUUUGUUCUCAGGCUUCUGAAUGGAUUGGAAAAUAUGAGGCCACCUAAAUGUAUAUCUUUUUGUGCACCGAGAAGUUUAUUUUGGCUUUGUUCUAAAAUAAAACUUGGAAGUACUAAUUAACAGGAACCCGGUCAUACCUUGAAGAGGAAACCCAGUCACAGACAUACUUACUUCAUCUUGAUUAGUUGUUUGGACUAAAUUGCCGCACAAGAAUAGAGAACACCAUAAGUGCAUAAUUAUUUUUCUUUUCGUUGUUUGAUGAGAGCUUUAUUUUCUUUUACAUUACAGGUUUGUUGCCUCUGGUCUCAGGCUUCUGAAUGGAUUGGAAAAUAUGAGGCCACCUAAAUGUAUAUCUUUUUGUGCACCGAGAAGUUUAUUUUGGUUAAAUUCUAAAAUAAAACUUGAAAGUACUAAUUAACAGGAACAUGGUCAUACCUUGAAGAGGAAAACCAAUCAUAGACAGACUUAGUUCAUCUUGAUUAGUUAUUUAGACUAAAUUGCCGCACAAGAAUAGGAAACACCAAAAGUGCAGAACUAUUUUUCUUUUCGUUGUUUGAUUAGAGAUUUAUUUUUCUUUUACAUUAUAGAUUUGUUGCCUCUGGUCUCAGGCUUCUGAAUGGAUUGGAAAAUAUGAGGCCACCUAAAUGUAUAUCUUUUUGUGCACCGAGAAGUUUAUUUUGGCUUUGUUCUAAAAUAAAACUUGGAAGUACUAAUUAACAGGAACCCGGUCAUACCUUGAAGAGGAAACCCAGUCACAGACAUACUUACUUCAUCUUGAUUAGUUGUUUGGACUAAAUUGCCGCACAAGAAUAGAAAACACCAGAAGUGCAUAAUUAUUUUUCUUUUCGUUGUUUGAUGAGAGCUUUAUUUUUCUUUUACAUUACAGGUUUGUUGCCUCUGGUCUCAGGCUUUCGAAUGGAUUGUAACAUACGAGGUCACUAGAUUACCCUAAUAUGUUUGAUGCCUGAGGAGCUCUGUUAGGUCUCUUGAUUUUUUUCCUCUGCCCCCCAGUCUUUCCUUGCUCUUUUGCUCUGCAAAU
rnacentral:lncRNA from 1 species